rnacentral:rRNA from 1 species
UUCCGGUGAUCUGCCGGACCUGACUGCUAUCGGAUUGAUACUAAGCCAUGCGAGUCUUUGUAGUAAUACAAGGCAUACGGCUCAGUAACGCGUAGUCAACCUACCCUAUGGACAAGAAUAAUCUCGGGAAACUGAGCAUAAUUCUUGAUAGAUCAUAAUGCCUGGAAUGGUUUAUGGUUAAAAUGAUUCGUCGCCAUAGGAUGGGACUGCGGCCUAUCAGCUUGUUGGUGAGGUAAUGGCCCACCAAGGCGAUUACAGGUACGGGCUCUGAGAGGAGAAGCCCGGAGAUGGGUACUGAGACAAGGACCCAGGCCCUAUGGGGCGCAGCAGGCGAGAAAACUUUGCAAUGUGCGAAAGCACGACAAGGUUAAUCCGAGUGGUUUCUGCUAAAGGAACCUUUUGCCAGUCCUAGAAACACUAGUGAAUAAGGGGUGGGCAAGUUCUGGUGUCAGCCGCCGCGGUAAAACCAGCACCUCAAGUGGUCAGGAUGAUUAUUGGGCCUAAAGCAUCCGUAGCCUGCUUUGCCAGUUUUCGGUUAAAUCCAUACGCUUAACGUAUGGGCUGCCGGAAAUACUACAAAGCUAGGGAGUGGGAGAGGUAGACGGUACUCGGGAGGAAGUGGUAAAAUGCUUUGAUCUCUCGAUGACCACCUGUGGCGAAGGCGGUCUACCAGAACACGUCCGACGGUGAGGGAUGAAAGCUGGGGGAGCAAACCGGAUUAGAUACCCGGGUAGUCCCAGCUGUAAACGAUGCAAACUCGGUGAUGCGCUGGCUUGUGGCCAGUGCAGUGCCGCAGGGAAGCCGUUAAGUUUGCCGCCUGGGAAGUACGUACGCAAGUAUGAAACUUAAAGGAAUUGGCGGGGGAGCACCACAAGGGGUGAAGCCUGCGGUUC